AUCAUAUGAAGUUGACAUAUCAACUAUGUGUGUGUGCACAUACCGAAAGCUGCCGCGAGGACCUGACGUUGGAAUGUUAAGAGGUGAACCUCGUAACAAAUAAAAAAGCUGAGGCAGGGAUUACAAGACUCCAUGUUAUGGCUACUGUUGGAGGACAGACCAGAUGUAGUACCAGAGUUUUUUCCACGUCAAUCAAUGGCUGAAUGCACUGCUCAGAUUCUAGACAUCAUCUGGCCAGUAGAAGGGGAAAAGGAGGAUGAUGAUGAAUGCCCUGUUGCAAACCAAUGCAGAAUUGCUGGCUACCUAUGGCAGUUUGUGGAGACAGUGACUGAAGACAAACUGAAGCAGUUAGUGAAAUUCUGGGUGGGCUGGUAGCUGCCCAUGCAGGACAUGCAAGUGGAAGUUGUGCAGGCAGACCAUCCAAGAUCAUCCACCUGUUUCCACAUCCUGCGCUUGCCUGGUCACUACACCAGUUAUGAAUAGUUCUGUGAUCAUCUGUAAGGUUGCACUGCAACUAAUGAUUGUGGGUUUGGACUAAUAUGAAGUCUAUGAGUUCUGCUGCAAACCAUUGUUAGGGCACACUGCACAACAUCACCCAUGCAUGUUUAGAAAGUGUGUAGGUUGUGACAUAAAUAGUCAGUAGAUGGCAGCCUUUUUUGUGUUCUAUGAGGAACAAGUUCUAAAUUCAGGAGGUCUCUUAAUUUUCUGGUUUCCUUUAAAUUGAAGCUUUACAUUGAUUCAAGUAUCAAAUGUUUAUGGGCUCAAAGCCCAUGAAGGAUUCUCAAAACAUAACUAUAUAAUUAAAAACUUUUGAAACUUUUUUUUAAAGACAAAAAAAAGCUUGAAGUAUAAAAGUGCAUGCUGGCUGAAAGUUGCUGUCAAGGCGAGAUUAGAGUCCUCUCUUGGCCAUGUUCUGUGCUCUCCCUGGACUGCUAUGUCCCAUUCUUUGCUGAAAAUCUCAAAGACAGUUAAUGGAGUCAAAGUCACUGAUGUACUAGACUGGAUUUGGUGAAGGUAAAGUUUUGUCAGUUUGAAGAAAAUAAGAAAUGUUGUAAAAGGUCACUGAUAAUAAUCAAGUCAAAGUUGAGCAUUCUGUUAUGUACCUUAAAAUUAAUACUUGAAUGGAUAUCUCAGAGUAUAAUAAAGUUGAACAAAGAAUGUACCAGUUUAAACUUUGAAUGUGAGAAUUAGAGGGACUGACUUUAUUGCCAUCUGUCGUCAUGACAACGUCACUUUUGCAAAUCUACA